rnacentral:rRNA from 1 species
CCUACGUGUAGCAGCAGUGAGGAAUAUUGGUCAAUGGGCGCGAGCCUGAACCAGCCAAGUAGCGUGAAGGAUGACUGCCCUACGGGUUGUAAACUUCUUUUAUAAAGGAAUAAAGUGAGGCACGUGUGCCUUUUUGUAUGGAAUUUAUGAAUAAGGAUCGGCUAACUCCGUGCCAGCAGCCGCGGUAAUACGGAGGAUCCGAGCGUUAUCCGGAUUUAUUGGGUAUAAAGGGAGCGUAGAUGGGUUGUUAAGUCAGUUGUGAAAGUUUGAGGCUUAACCGUAAAAUUGCAUGUGAUACUGGCAGUCUUGAGUACAGUUGAGGUAGGCGGAAUUCGUGGUGUAGCGGUGAAAUGCUUAGAUAUCACGAAGAACUCCGAUUGCGAAGGCAGCUUACUAAACUGCCACUGACAUUGAUGCUCGAAAGUGUGGGUAUCAAACAGGAUUAGAUACCCCAGUAGUC